AAGCUCUCCCAGGACAAACAGGCCCUCAAAUUCAUCAGGAAAAGGGUGGGGGGCACACUUCCCCCCCAAGAGAAAGUGAGAGAGCCUGUGCAAUGUCCCGGCCCCGCCCUGAGGAAAGCAGCUGCCAGGGACUGAGCCCCUUCCCCCUUGCAUAAGGAAACCUUUGCAGAAAAAAAAAAAAAAGAUGGGAAGAGUAGUUUGUUGGAAAACCUUCAUGGCCCACCCAGCUGUAAGAUUAUGCUCUUCUUUUUAUAAGUGUCU
rnacentral:lncRNA from 1 species